AUACGUAGGGUGCAAGCGUUAAUCGGAAUUACUGGGCGUAAAGCGUGCGCAGGCGGUUUUGUCAGACAGUGGGGAAAUCCCCGGGCUCGACCUGGGAACUGCCAUUGUGACUUCAAGGCUGGAGAGUGGCAGAGGGGGGUGGAAUUUCGCGUGUAGCAGUGAAAUGCGUACGUAUGCGGAGGUAAACCGAUGGCGUAGGCAAUCCCCUUGGCCGACGCUGACUCUCAUACUCUAACGCGCCGGGAGCCACCAGGAUUAGAUACGCUAGUAGUUCACGCACUAAACGAAGCCAACAGGGUGUUGGGGAUUUAGUUUCUCAGUAACGAAGCUUACACAUGAAGUUUAACGGCUGGGAAGUACGGCAGCACGGUUGAUACUCAAAGGAAUGCACGGGG
rnacentral:rRNA from 1 species